rnacentral:rRNA from 1 species
GAUGAACGCUGGCGGUAUGCUUAACACAUGCAAGUCGAACGGACUCUUCGGAGUUAGUGGCGGACGGGUGAGUAACGCGUGAGAAUCUGGCUUUGGGUUCGGGACAACCACUGGAAACGGUGGCUAAUACCGGAUGUGCCGAGAGGUAAAAGAGAAAUUGCCUGAAGAUGAGCUCGCGUCUGAUUAGCUAGUUGGUGAGGUAAAGGCUCACCAAGGCAGCGAUCAGUAGCUGGUCUGAGAGGAUGACCAGCCACACUGGGACUGAGACACGGCCCAGACUCCUACGGGAGGCAGCAGUGGGGAAUGUUCCGCAAUGGGCGAAAGCCUGACGGAGCAAUACCGCGUGAGGGAAGAAGGCUCUUGGGUUGUAAACCUCUUUUCUUAGGGAAGAACAAAAGGACGGUACCUAAGGAAUCAGCAUCGGCUAACUCCGU